rnacentral:rRNA from 1 species
AGAGUUUGAUCCUGGCUCAGAACGAACGCUGGCGGCGUGCUUAACACAUGCAAGUCGUACGAGAAAGUCCGCUUCGGUGGAUGAGUAAAGUGGCGAACGGGUGAGUAACGCGUGGGUAAUCUACCCUCAUGACCGGGAUAACUUCGCGAAAGCGUAGCUAAUACCGGAUAUCGUCUUUGGGACCACGGUCCUGGAAAUGAAAGAUGGGGAUCUUCGGACCUGUCACAUGAGGAUGAGCCCGCGUACCAUUAGCUAGUUGGCGGGGUAAUGGCCCACCAAGGCUACGAUGGUUAGCUGGUCUGAGAGGAUGACCAGCCACACUGGCACUGAAACACGGGCCAGACUCCUACGGGAGGCAGCAGUGAGGAAUUUUGCGCAAUGGGGGAAACCCUGACGCAGCAACGCCGCGUGAGUGAUGAAGGCCUUCGGGUCGUAAAGCUCUGUCUGGUGGGAAGAAACGUCUGAGGGUGAAUAGUCCUCAGACUUGACGGUACCGCCGAAGGAAGCACCGGCUAACUCCGUGCCAGCAGCCGCGGUAAUACGGAGGGUGCAAGCGUUGUUCGGAAUCAUUGGGCGUAAAGGGCGCGUAGGCGGUCCAGUAAGUCGGAUGUGAAAGCCCUGGGCUCAACCCAGGAAGUGCAUCCGAAACUGCUGGACUUGGAA